rnacentral:snRNA from 1 species
ACCUCUUGGCUAAGAUCAAGUGUGGUAUCUAUUUUUAUCAGUUUAAUAUCUGAUUUAUCUUCUAUCCUUGGACAAUAUAUUGAAUGGAUUAUUAGAGCAAGGAAAUGGAAUAGGAGCUUGUUCUCUCCACUCAAAGAAUUGACCUAGUAUUGUACUACUUACAGAAAUGGUGCACCCCCU